rnacentral:snRNA from 1 species
AUACUUACCUGACGCGAGAGGCACCUUGAUCAACUAGGGGGUCCUCUCAGGAUGAGGCCCUUUCAUUGCACUUCGACUGGGUUGACUCCUGCGAUUACCCCUAAUGUGGGUAACUCGAGCGUAUAAUUUCUGGUAGUGGGGACCUGCGUUCGCGCUCGUCCCCU